rnacentral:tRNA from 1 species
AAGGGAGACCUAAUUCGGGUAUAAGACGAAAAAAGAGUAGUCGAAACCAAGAAUCAAUCCCAAAAGGUCGGAACGAGGUAAGUGGCUUUCAAACUAGGUUCUGGGUUCACACAAGACCUGAAUCAGGAACAAGGGCUAUUAGCUCAGGUGGUUAGAGCGCACCCCUGAUAAGGGUGAGGUCCCUGGUUCGAGUCCAGGAUGGCCCACCUGCACAGGUGGCAAAAACAAAGAAGCGAGGAAUCAGCACCUUAUCUUAUCUAUAUAUAAGAGAGAAUGCUGGCUCUGAGUAAAGAGUCCAGAGGAACCUUGAAAACUGCAUAGAGCUAGGUGAAAAAGCCAAAAAAGAAGACCGCAA